AGAUAUUGUAGUAGCUGAAGAAUUCACUGAAAAUAGAACAAGGACAACUUAAAACAUGCUUAGAAUUAUUUGGUUUUUAACUUUAGUAUACAGAUUCAAAAUAGGCAAAUCCCUUUACAAGAUACCUUGCACAAUAUUGAUUUUAGUCUUUGGACAGAAAAUCAACUUGUAAUUGGUACUCUUGGUGUAGUAAUCAAAAUAUUGACAAUAAACUCCUGUCA
rnacentral:lncRNA from 1 species